GUUAUAAACUGUAUUUGGAAUUCUCGCUAAUCGUCCGUACAAUAAUUCAAAUGGUGUAAAUCCAGUAGACGAAUUAAUCGUUGUAUUAUACUGGAAAGUGAAAAAUGGAAUUAAUUGAUCCCAUGUUUGCGGAUUCCCAACAAUAAAGUUUCGCAAAUAUAUUUUCAGUUCUCUAUUUGAUCGUUCUACUAAAUUUGCUUGUGGAUGAUAUGCACUUGUAUUUAUCUUCUUUAUUUUCAAAAUUUUGCAUACAUUUUUCAAUAAAUUACUCAUAAAAUUCGCUCCUUGAUCGAUAACUACCUCUAGUGGAGCACCAUAGCGACAAAUAAAAUGUUCCACGAAUGCUUUAGCGACAGUUGAGCUUUCCUGGUCAGGCAAUACAGCAACUGUUAAAAAUCUUGUUAGAUCAUCUUGAAUCACUAAACCAUAACGAUUAUUGUCGUCAGAUGGGGUUAAUAUUACAAUAUCCAUAAAUACUUUUUGGAAGGGUUCCGUUGAAGUCGUUGUUUUCUUCAUAGGAAUCUUAUUCGUGGGCCAAAUCUUGUUCUUUUGGCACAGUUCACAUUGUCUUACAUAGUUUUCAAUAUCUCUACGCAGGUUGUCCCACGUGAAAAGUGGACUUAUACGUUGAAGCAUUCUUUUACCUCCCACGUGACCUCCAAGAGGGGCAUCAUGAAAUUCUUUCAAAACCGUUUCUCUAUCUUCUACUUUUACAAACAUUCUGUCUCCCAGACACGAGAUUUUCUUACAGAAUUGGUUCUGUUAGAAUCCUGCUAGAAUCAUUCUAGCAGCUCAGUCAGAAUUCUGUUAGAAUUUUGUAAGAAUUUUCUUUCAGGAAAUACUGCUCGCUGAUUGGCUGGCCUUGUACCGGUUCAGUUCGUGUUUCAACAAGUUCAAUUUUCACUCGUUUUAUUCUACCUCGACCGUUUGAACACGUUUUUUUCGGGAGCAACAUCAUCGUCAAAAACCCAUCGGAACCAAGGUCGGAAUCAAAUGAUUUGCUGGCAAAUUACAACAUCCCUUCGCAGAUGUGGCCCUGCGGUACUGGGGACAACCCGGCUUGGAACUGGGAGUUCCGAAUCCUCAUCAUCGGCAUCAAGGAAAAACCUUCUCAACUCGUGCAGAUCGGAUAACGGAACAAAAAAGUUGUCUCAGAGGAACAACAGUUGCCGCCUCUAUGUUGGUAUUGCAGGGAAUCUGAGUGCAGUGCAAUAAUUUUGUAAUAUAAAUAGAAAUAAAUUUCGUGUGAA